rnacentral:ncRNA from 1 species
UGCCCGGAAGGCGGGCCGGUGGGGGGGAUGCGGUCGGCGGUGGCGGCGGCGACUCUGGACGCGCGCCGGGCCCUUCCUGCGGAUCUCCCCAGCUGUGGUGCCCGUCCGGGUCCCCUAUCUCUUCCCCAUCUCCGUGGGGGUGGGGCGGGGGCCCCCCGGCCGGGUGUUACCAGCUGACUAAGAACUGGUGCGGACCAGGGGAAUCCGACUGUUUAAUUAAAACAAAGCAUCGCGACGGCCGCGCUGGGUGUUGACGCGAUGUGAUUUCUGCCCAGUGCUCUGAAUGUCAAAGUGAAGAAAUUCAAUGAAGCGCGGGUAAACGGCGGGAGUAACUAUGACUCUCUACGCCGGCUGUGACAUGUGUCUAUAAUGUGUUAUCCUCUAACACCUACCA